rnacentral:lncRNA from 1 species
CAAUUUUAAAGUAAGACGGAAUGAACUUCUCUAUGAUAUGGAAAUAACACAGAGGCUGACAUGUAUUCUCAAAAUAUUAGACUAUAACUCCUUCUGAAAUAAAAAUAAAAACAAGUUUGAAAUAAUUACCACACCUGAAUUGUUAUUGUUGUCGAUAUAAAGGUACCAUAUGUAAUACAAAAAUAACGAUACAAUACUUAAAUUACACCAUAUAAGAACAUAUGAAGGAAGAAAGGAUAUAUUUUCCUUGUAGCUCGGAACUUUCAAAGUAAGAAUUUCACGAUGCAAUCUUCUGUUCUUUUUUUAUUCAAAUUGAACAAAACUGAUCCAAACGGA